AUAUUUAAUUAAUAUCGCUUUGGAGACAAUCCAUUUAUUUCAGUUUGAAGUACUAAAAAAAAGCGAUUUUGACGUGCAAAUCGAUCAUCUGACUUUGUAUGGGGAGUAAGACCAAUCGAACAAUCUAGUAGAUAGUUCCUUCUGAAGCUUUCCUCAAGAAGCUGAAAUACGCAAUGGAGCUGCUAUAUUCGGUGAAGCGAGUGAUCAGAGGAAUUGUGGGACGAAACGUCUUCAACCUAUUUAUCAAACAUUCAGUGAGUAUGACGUCUCAUUUGCUUGAAUGAGGCGUAGACGUUAAAUUUGUGCUCCACGUACGCCAUAUUUGGUAAGCGGAACUGGCGCUGUGAGAUGAACAAACGUUAACAAUAUGAUAGAAGUCAUUUAGCUAAUAUUGUUGUUUUGGAAUUUUUCUCAGCACCCAACCGUAUUAGGCGUGUUGAUGUGUUGUGUGAGUUGGUUCCUUUACCUUCAUUGAAUCUAUCAUUCUUUACAG
rnacentral:ncRNA from 1 species